CUGCGAGUGCGGGAGCCUGGCCCCUUUAUAUACCGGGUUAUUUUUAACCGGCGGCCGCAGGAAGCCCUGCUUGGCCCGUUUCCUGCCGCGGAGGCCGGAGGCCGAGAGCCGAGAGCAACAGCCGGGACUGAGCGGCUCGGGCAGAGCCGGGUCCCUCCAGCCCUGAAGGGGCCCGUCACAGCCGCGGGCCCAGGACCCAGGACACCCGCCCGUCCCCCAGGCUGGACCCGCGCCAGGUCCGUCCCCAGGUGGAAGGAGGGGGUCCCCUCCCCAAGAAGGACCCAGGAUGUGUCUCGGGGCUGGAUUUUGGGGGGAAGGAAAGCCUCUUUGUGUUCCUGAGUGUGACCCAGACCACGGUGACGGCAUUUCCCAGGUUCCAGGUGACGCACCCCAGUUCCACCCCAGGACGAGACCCUGGUCCUCCCCUCCCCCAGCCCUGGCAACGGGAGGGGCCCCUCCUGCCAGCACCGUCCUCCAGGGUCCCCCUCGUGUCCCCCGAUGGUCAGAGUUCUCUCUCCCCACAGGGAGCCCCCGGUCCCCUCCGCUCUGACGCCCUCAUGGUCCCCAGGACCGCGGAGGGACGCCUGAGGCCCUGACCUACCCGGGCCCAGAGUCCCAGCCUGGGGACCGUCACUGCCUCCUGGCAAGAUGGCGUGGGACCCACCCAGGGAGCACCUUCCGCGGAGGGUGACGGGGCCUCGGGCCAGACACUCCCCCCAAAUCAUGGAGGCCAGCCAAAUGACGUGGCCAAAUGUCCCCUGGGGUGCAGGGCUGUCCCCAGGGGGAACGCAGGUGGACGUCUCUGGGGAGUGGACAAGAUCCCCUCCGAGGCACAAAGGAGACUCGGAAACGGGUGACCCCAAGGAGGGGCCACAGCAGCAAUCGGAGAGACGGGGCCCAAGAAGGGGACAUGAGGGUCCCCUGUCCUUGGCACAGAAGCGGGGCCCGGCUGGGUUUGGCCCCGUCAUCUUGAACCAGGGACUGGGGACAGGUCCUCCCCCUGCGGGUCUCCGUUUCCCCCUCUCCUUGGGGGGUCUCGGCCCUGUUCAUUGGGCGCUGGGGCUGUCAUCGAUGUGGGCAGCAGCCCCGAGGGUUUUCCCUGGUGGCCCCAGGCUGGUCCGUGGGGAGCCAGGUGGGGACCCGUCCCAGUUCCCAGGGUCCCCGCUGCUUCCCGGAGGGACACAUCAGCUCCAUCCCCAGGAGAAGGGAAGAGGCUGGAGGGAGCCUCCACGGAGGCCCGCCUCCUCCUCCUCCUCCUGCCCCAGGUCCUGAAACACCAAUGGCUGUCCUGCCGGGUCACACUUCCAGGUGGCAGGUGGCGCUCACGGUGACGAAGAUAACCUCUCCUUCGCUCAGGGAGGUCGCAGGAGGAGGGCAGGGAGCACUUGUUCGGCGGUUUUUCAGCUGUUCUCCUGUGGGACAGUGUGUCUCCUUUGCUUGCUUCAGUGCACGGUGACGUCCGUCUGUCUGCCCUGCGCUCCCGCUGCCACGGAGGGUUCUAGAACAUUUUUGUUGCCCCAACAGAAAGCCCACCCCAGCCACCACCCACCAGGACGGUGGCUUUUACAUUUUUAAUAGAUGAAAACUAUUAGAGGGAGAAUGAUCUGUUGUCACAUGUGAAGUGUCCCUGAGAUUCUGUUGUCCUGCAGUUUCAUCGUGGCGCGGUGUCUGUGGGCUCUUUGCUACUGCUGUCCUGUGGUCCGUGUGGCCAGCCGGGGGGGCGCGGGGCUGGGGGGUGGAGGGGGCUCCUGGGGCGCACAGGCCGCUGGUCCUCACCGUCUGGUCCUCUGCGGGAGGCGCCGCGGGCGCUUCCUGUGGUCGUGGUCCCUCUGG
rnacentral:lncRNA from 1 species